rnacentral:lncRNA from 1 species
CACACACACACACAUGCAUGUAGUCAUCAUGUUAUAUUAAAGUACUUCCUCCUCUCUCCAGGUGAACAGUGGAUCUUGUCUUCAGCUUCAGGUGGAGCAGCUCUUACCUGUAUGGUGAUCAGACCCGGAGAGGAGAGACACUUGGUCCAACAAGGUGAUGGACGGUUGAAAGGAGGGAUCACCGAGACGAACAAGACGAGCCAAACAAUGGAGAUGAGCCGCCGCAGGAGCCUGAAGGAGAAGUGAAUCCCGGGGAAAGUUGUUGGGAAUUUCUAAAGGUGAGAUGAAGAGAGGCAGACCCUCUGUAGAGCUUAAGAAUCUCAGCCAUCAUGUGUUUGGGAUUAAAGACGUGACACUGAUGGAGCUGAAAGUCUUUUGAGCCGCCACAGAGCCUAAUCACUCCCAGAGGGCCUCAAUGUAAAGGGGAUCAACGUAUUUGUUUUAAGAUGGUAAUGGUGAUAUAAGUGAUUAAAGUCAUUAUUUAAAGCAAAAAUGUCACAUUUUAAUGGUUUUGGCUUCUAAUAUGUCAGAAUGUAAACAUUACUUCUCUUAGAUUAUAGAAACCUGAAUAUAUUUUGGUUUUGGACACAUGACGACAUCACUUUGUUUUUGUGUUAUUUCACUAUAUUCUGAUGUUUUAGGGACCAAAAUCAAUUUAUCCAAUCAAUUAUUGAGAAAUUAAUUGACGGAUGAAUGAGUACUGUAAACAAUAUAUUUAGUUGCAGAAGUAUCAGUGUACAAACAGGCUUAAUGCAUCUGUUUCAUGCAGGUCGGGGGAAUUCUUAACACAAAUAAAACUGUAAACGAAACAUUGUCUUCAUUCCAGUGAAUGAGAAAAUGAAAGCACACUGGCUCUUUGAAACAUGAAAUGACUACCACAUCAAAAAAAACAUGAAUUAAACAAACACACAUAUGUAAAGAUCCAUAGAAUAUCAAUAAAAACAGAUUAAAGUGGUAAAAAAAAUUAACUCCUAAUAAUUUCUUUUAUCGCUGAAAACAAGUUUAAAUUGAAGAACUGGGAGGCAGACAGGACAAUAACCAGUCCGAGCCUUGAAUCAGACCUGGGAAUAUUUUUAUAACCUUUUACAUUUCUUUACAUUAAUCAAAACAAUCAUAAUGUUUCAGAGGUCUUCCACUGAAGACAAACACAAAAUAAAUGAUGACUAUUAACUAGAAUAUGAAGUUAAACGUCUUGAGUGAGUGAAAAUACUUUGAUGUCUCACAACAUCUGGCAUAUUUUAAUG